rnacentral:misc_RNA from 1 species
UCCGAUUUGUCACCGGCAGUCUCCUAUGAGUCCCCGUCAUUACACGCUGGCAACAUAGGACAGGGGUUGCGCUCGUUGCGCCACUUAAGGCAACACCUCACGGCACGAGCCGACGACAGCCAUGCACCACCUGUGCAGGCUCCGAAGAGCACCCGCUUUCACGGGUUUCACCCUGCAUGUCAAGCCCAGGUAAGGUUCUUCGCGUCGCAUCGAAUUAAACCACAUGCUCCACCGCUUGUGCAGGCCCCCGUCAAUUUCUUUGAGUUUUAAUCUUGCGACCGUACUCCCCAGGCGGGAUGCUUAAUGCGUUAGCUGCGCCACUGACCAGCAAGCUGGCCAACGGCUAGCAUCCAUCGUUUACGGCGUGGACUAC